AUAACAUGGUAGAUGAGGCGACCGUGAUCAGUGUCAUACUAUUGUGGGCAGCACAAUCAACUGAUACGGAUGCAUGUUUGAAAGGAAUGACUGGUGUUCCAGCAAUCCAGCAUCCUUUCUGCUUCCACUAUAUUGUGCGGACUUUGCUAUGCUUCUCUAUGGACAACUUAUCCAUGCCAUUAGAGCUUGAGAUGGUCAAUGGUGAUUAUUGGGCUUUGAGUAAAGGAUGCACCAUGACAAAUCAAAAUGUGCUGCUACAUUAACAGAAGGCAAUCAAAGCACAAAAGAUUGUGCCACAUGGUGUCGCUGAUAUCAUCUUGGACUAAACUGGCAGGUUGGAUAAGUAGAAAGCAUGCUUACCAGAGACAUCAUACUUCUUCCUUGCUGCCUUUGGUGAGCGAUUCUCGAUCCAGAAUACUAUGUUCAUCAUACCGUCUUUGUUGAGUAUAUAUUUAAUUCUUCAGCAUUCUGAUAAUAUACCAUGCAUGGGUCAUUUUACUUUGACAUUCUAAUGCAUUAUUUAACCGGCAGCUAAGGCGCAAAAGUUGUAGUCAGCUUGACACCGCUCCUGGGCAGCCAUUGUUUGUAGAAACAAGAAAAUCAUGGAUUACCGGCUAAGCUGCAAAAGGAAAAAUCUUUACCAUCUCUAUAACCAACUGGUUUCCACUGCUAAAAAUAAAUCAUCCCUUGGAAGAAUAAAAUGUCCAUUUUCUAAUUAAGAUGCACCUGCUCCCUAAGUGUACCUACUGAUUUUCCCUUUUAACAAUUGCCAUCUGAGCAAAAGAGCUAUUACACACAACUGUCGGGCAAUGGCGGAGCUGCAGUAUAGCUAUUGGGUUCAGAUGAACCCAGUAAAGAUUGUCAAUUUCAAUAGAAUUUGGACUAGAAACUACAUGUGAACCCCAUGGUUACAAUGGAGUGAACCCAAUACUUGGUUUUUCUGGCUCCGCUGGGCAUACAUAGGAAUAAGGCUACUCAACUAUACGGCAAAUAAUCCAUUCUCCCUUUGGUACUCUUUUAUUGAGAAGAAUUUGAAACCUUUUUUACAACUUCUUGAAAACUUGUUCAUGCCAUUACUAAAAGUCAUAGCCAGACAAAGAAGUGGCCUUCCAGGUUAGCUCCUUUGUUAUUUUGUUAUUGACAAAGAUUUGAGAUCGCUAACUGGGCUUGCCACUCGGUUCCAGGGCAGCUACUUCGAAACACAUUUCAGCCGUUUUGAUUUGUUGUGGUUGUUUGUUGUUUCGGUACAAACUUGGAGGGUUGCGAUCGCAUCUAGGAAAGUGGAAAGGCUUCAAAAGGCAAGCCCAGCAACCAAACCCAACAUUGUGUCAGCCUCUUCCCUCCCCUCCCUUCUCACAGUUAAACCUAUAUCUCACGCCUUAAGAAUGUCAAACAACACAAACAAGAUAUAGUUUCUACUUAAAAUUGAUGAUAAAACAACUAAACGUAGGGUCUCGAGCAUAACUUUCAAUAAGUGGACCUUCCACGCUCUUUCCUCGUUGAUUGAUCCUUUGAUGCUCGUAUCUACUCGCCAUUUAGUUGCUACAUAAGAUAAGAUUGUGCAACGACACCAAGAGAGUUUGGUUGAUCCUUUGAUGCUCGUAUCUGCUCGCCAUUUAGUUGUUACGUAAGAUAAGAUUGUGCAACGACACCAAGAGAGAAACUAAAAACAGAAAGAAAAAAAACUAUAUAUGAAAAUAACCUUUGCUUGGGCAAAUUACGAAAAGGGAAAAACAUCAUUUGUUCAAACAGAGUAUGGGAGGUGGUAACCUCCCGAAGCUUAGAAUUAAGCUAGGGUGGAAAUUACUUUUACGGUUUCACCAUUUGAGCGUGAAUAAUCUUUCUCCAAUUGGUGAAAAUCUUUCCUUAUUUCGGUCCUUGUUGUGGUUCGAUUCCUAUCUUCCAAUAAUACCUGCUGACAAAAAAAAACUAGAAAACAAAAACAAAUAUUUUGGUGGGUUUUUAUUUUUCUUCUUCUAGAACACGGGCUAGUCAA